GAGUUUGAUCUUGGCUCAGAGCGAACGCUGGCGGCAGGCUUAACACAUGCAAGUCGAGCGCCCCGCAAGGGGAGCGGCAGACGGGAGAGUAACACGUGGGAACGUACCCUUCAGUACGGAACAACCAAGGGAAACUUUGGCUAAUACCGUAUACGUCCGUAAGGAGAAAGAUUUAUCGCUGAAGGAUCGGCCCGCGUCUGAUUAGCUAGUUGGUGAGGUAAAAGCUCACCAAGGCGACGAUCAGUAGCUGGUCUGAGAGGAUGAUCAGCCUCACUGGGACUGAGACACGGCCCAGACUCCUACGGGAGGCAGCAGUGGGGAAUAUUGGACAAUGGGCGCAAGCCUGAUCCAGCCAUGCCGCGUGGAUGAUGAAGGCCCUAGGGUUGUAAAGUCCUUUUAACGGGGAAGAUAAUGACGGUACCCGUAGAAUAAGCCCCGGCUAACUUCGUGCCAGCAGCCGCCGUAAC
rnacentral:rRNA from 1 species